AGCUCCAAUAGCGUAUAUUAAAGUUGUUGCAGUUAAAAAGCUCGUAGUUGGAUCUCGGGAGCAGGCCGGCGGUCCGCCUCGCGGCGGGUUCUGCCCGUCCUGCCCCCCCCUCCCGGUUUUCCCCCGGGGUCUUUCUUGAGUGGCUCGGGGGGCCGGAACGUUUACUUUGAAAAAAUAUAGAGUGUUCAAAGCAGGCAGUUCGCCUGAAUAAUGGUGCAUGGAAUAAUGGAAUAGGACCUCGGUUCUAUUUUGUUGGUUUUCGGAACUUGAGGUAAUGAUUAAGAGGGACAGACGGGGGCAUUCGUAUUACACUGUUAGAGGUGAAAUUCUUGGAUCGGUGUAAGACGAACUACUGCGAAAGCAUUUGCCAAGAAUGUUUUCA
rnacentral:rRNA from 1 species